CCAACAUGGAAAUUCUGGGAGGUCACUCUCCCCAGGCUUUGUCCAGCUGGCAUAGGGGAGCAUAGGGCUCUACCCCAUGAUGUACAGUCCCUUUCCACAAUGUUGGAGAUGAAGCUGGGCUUUGAGUUUGCAUUUGCACAUUGUUAUGACUUCUCAGAGUCCUGUAGACGAUGACUGAAGAGACAAACCAUUCUGGAAACAAUG
ensembl:snoRNA SNORA73 Small nucleolar RNA SNORA73 family